UUGUUCUGUAAAUGGUGUGCCAGUGAAUAAUGUGGUCAUCCUUUCUUUCUUUCUUUUAGGAGAAUUCAUGGAUCCCAAGUGAAGCUGUCUUUCACUUCUUUGUUGGGACUCCAAAGUCAGACUUGAAAAGAGAUAUUGGUGUUGACAUAAGUUUUAGUGUCCCACAGAAGAAAUUCAGAAUCCAAUUUAUACAACCUAAGAAAAAAAUUGAGAUGGAUGGGAGGAUUGAGUUUUCUAAAAGUUCCCAAGUUGGACACCUGGAGCUGAUAGUGGAUGACCAAGAUGUGUAUUACAUUAAGGGAAUGGCAGAUUUGCAGAUGCUGAGUGGAGAGCAGAGAUACAUGACCCAGCUGGAGGUAAAGCUGAUAAAGCAAAGCAGUCCUAUCAUUUUGUCAGGAAACAUCACUAAACAGCUUGGCAAGAAGAUAGCUUUUUCAGUAUCUCUGAAUAAUUUGUUGAAGGAUGCUGCAUUUCUUUCAGGUUAGAGGACAGUAAGUAUUUGGCAUAUAAAUGCAAGUUCUGGAGCUGUUAUUUGUUAGGGUUGCUUGAUUUUAGACAUUUACUCCUAAAAUUGCUUUCAAAUCCAUAAAGACUGCUUUUUAAAAUUACUAUCCUG
rnacentral:lncRNA from 1 species